GUCCAACCCCUGUAUAUCUCUGAACUGUAGGUUAGGUUAGAAAAGUAGAUUAACUGCUAACCUGAGAUUUUUACUGUUAGAUUCUGCUCUUUCUUCACCACCACAGACUGGAGCACAGCAUCUGUUACUGAUUCCAGCCCUGUGUGUUUUGGUUUAGGAUGCAGCCAUCAGCGAGCGCCUGUGCAGUGAUGGAGAACAUGUUGGUGAACUCCUGUCCUUGUGCUAACCCUGCAGAGCUUCGAGCUGCCUCUCUGGUUCCCUCUGAUCCAUCAAGCUGUCUGAUCAGCUGGAGAAAAGCCAUUAGUCUGAAACAACACAAUGCAUGGGCUGGGAGCUGCAGGUGUCUCUUGUCGGUGCUGUGAUUCUUCUUCAGCUUUUAUGGACGUCAGAUUUCCAAUGCUCCAGCUGUCAAAACCCUUAUGUCUUCUGGUUGAAAUGUACAAAAUAUCCAGAUUAAGAUGUUUUUUAACCAAUUGCUGUGGUUGCUGGUUUGCCCCUGCUGUUUGUUUGAGCGUGUUGUGCAAAAUAUUUUUUUUUUAAUAAAACAACGUUUCUGUCUUUC